GACGAACGCUGGCGGCGUGCUUAACACAUGCAAGUCGAACGAAGUGGCGAACGGGUGAGUAACGCGUAAUCAACCUGCCCUUCAGAGGGGGACAACAGUUGGCAACGACUGCUAAUACCGCAUACUGAAGGAGGGGAUUGAGUCUGAUUGGCUAGUUGGAGGGGUAACGGCCCACCAAGGCGAUGAUCAGUAGCCGGUCUGGGGGGAUGAACGGCCAAAGUGGGACUGAGACAAGGCCCAGACUCGUACGGGAGGGAGCAGGGGGGAAUCUUCCGCAAUGGACGAAAGUCUGACGGAGCAACGGCGCGUGAGGGAUGACGGCCUUCGGGUGGUAAAGCUCUGUUAAGCGGGACGCGGUACCGGAAUAGAAAGCCACGGCUAACUACGUGCCAGCAGCCGCGGUAAUUC
rnacentral:rRNA from 1 species